GACGAACGCUGGCGGCGUGCCUAAUACAUGCAAGUAGAACGCUGAAGGAGGAGCUUGCUUCUCUGGAUGAGUUGCGAACGGGUGAGUAACGCGUAGGUAACCUGCCUGGUAGCGGGGGAUAACUAUUGGAAACGAUAGCUAAUACCGCAUAAGAGUAGAUGUCGCAUGACAUUUGCUUAAAAGGUGCAAUUGUAUCACUACCAGAUGGACCUGCGUUGUAUUAGCUAGUUGGUGAGGUAACGGCUCACCAAGGCAACGAUACAUAGCCGACCUGAGAGGGGGAUCGGCCACACUGGGACUGGGACACGGCCCAGAAUACUACGGGAGGCAGCAGUAGGGAAUCUUCGGCAAUAGACGGAAGUCUGACCGAGCAAAGCCGCGUGAGUGAAGAAGGGUUUCGGAUCGUAAAGCUCGGUUGUAAGAGAAGAACGAGUGUGAGAGUGGAAAGUUCACACUGUGACGGUAGCUUACCAGAAAGGGACGGCUAACUACGUG
rnacentral:rRNA from 1 species